UUUCCCACAGCCAUGUCCAGCAAGGCCAAAUUUCGAAUAAAUUGCUUUUUUUGUGAAGCAAGUAGACUUGACAAGGCUUUCUCCAAAUUUGUUCCGUGAAGGUCACGAAAGGAUAUAUAUGGAUUAUCAAUACUCAUGCUAAUUAAAUUAUUUACGAAGAUUGCCUGAGAAGUUUCGUCUAGACUGUUUAUCAAAAUUAGUAAAGAUCAUUCAAAAACUGUUGUCAUACCAAUCUUUGGAAAUUUUGAGAGACUCUUUGGAGGCUUUUUCAUUAUCACCAGCUUGUAAAUAGGCGAAAAAGAGUUGUAAUCGACAAAGGUUAAUCUGAGACUUAUGAUCUUCAGAGUUGGAAUCAGAAUUUUCAAGCUUUUCAAGAGAAGACGAAAGUAACUCAAUUGCCUGGUUCCAAUCACCAAUAGUUAAGUAGCGCGUAGCAAGGUUAAAGACAGAAUCCUGGUCAUCC